CAAGUGAACCUCAGUGUGGUUUGAGCUUCGCGAGUGAGUGGAGGGACGGAUGAGAGAAACAGAAUGCGUGAAGCAGCUUGAAAGUUUAAGUGAUUGCGCGAAAGACUCUUUUAAGAUGUGACGUUCAGAAUCCCCGAUAACGGAUUUGGUUGAACAGAAGAAAAAAACAGGUAGAAAUAAUCGGGAGUGUGGAACAUGUCGAGACACGUCUAGGACACGCAGAGCAAGAGAGAGAGAGAAAACAACCGAGAUGUAUUCCGCAGUGUCACCCUCUUCCCGAGAGUGACCGGUCCUCGCCUCUGCUCCUCGACUUUCUCCCCCUUCCCCUUCCCCUCCCCCUUCCCCGCCUCCUCCUCCUUUCCAUCCUCCUCCUUCCCCAGACACCCCCUCCCCCUCCCCCUCCUCCGCCUCCGCCAUGGUGACGCGGGCGGCCAAGCAGCGGGAGCUCUCAUCCACGUACCAGAGCUUCGCGGACACCGGCCCCACCUACUCGUACCUCGACCUCAGCCGCGCCCGCAGUGACGAGUCCUUGAUGUGGGCGGCGGGUGAGGAGGCGGCGGCCCUCGUGGCGGAGCUGCGGGCGUCGCUGGCCGCGCCCCUCCCACGCCUCGAGGACGCCCACGCCCACGCGCCGGAAGAAGACGAGGCGGAGGACGAGGGGCUGGAGAUGACCGUGCUGCCCCUGCGGAGGGCGUCCCUGGGCAGGAUUUCCCUCGACAGGACGUCCUUGGAGCGACUGUCCCUCGACAGGAGCUCCCUCGGGAGGUCGUCCUUCUGCGGCAGCGGGCGCUCGCUCUCCUUCACCGACCUGCACUCGGCCGCCGCCUCCGCCGAGGACCUCCGCCUCUUUUGCUUCCACCCCGCGCGCCUCCCUUGCUCGCCCCACUGCGCCUCCUCCUCCGCCUCCUCCGCCUCCUCCACGGGCUCCUCCAGGAGCGCCGCCUCCGCCUGCGACAGCGCCGCCAAUAUCCUUGGAGGAGGCGUGGUCAAGCGCUGCAACUUGCGGACCUUUGGAGGCAGCUGGCGCUCCCUCCUCAGAAUGGGCGGGAUGAGCGGGCGCGGGAAGGCAACGGCCGCCGUCAAGAAGGUCUCUCCGCCGCGGGUGCCGGACACGGCCUCCUCCGUCUCGCACCGCCACUCGGGCUCCUCCCUCAGCUCCGGCGUCUACAGCACGGGCGGCGGCGACCAGCGUUCCUCCUACUCGUCCUCCGUCGGCGAGGACAACCCCCCGCCGCCGCCGUCGCCAAGGAGCCCCGCCAAGGGUGGCGUACCCUGUGACCAUGGGCAGCUCGGCCGGCACGGAGGGGCCAAUCAACACGGGAACAAUUCCCCGUCACACUUCCACAACCAACAGUUCACCUUCCCAACAAAUCACCAGCAACAGGUACCUCAAUUUGCUCACCUGAUGUGCCCUAAGACCUCCCCUGGCUCACCUCAUCAUGUCCCCCCAGACACAACGUACUCCUAUCUCACCUACCACCACCAGACCUCCCUCGAGGACCAAGGCAUUGACGUUCAGUCGCCUGGUCGUUCGAGCCCAGGCUCUGGAAGUGGUUCCUCUACCACUGGCUCUACUGCCUCGUCAGGAGGAUGCAGAAAUUCCACUACGUCUCUGGACUCGGGUCGUGCAUCCACCACAACCCACACGCAUCAACACAGGCUAAGUGGGCAGAGCUACGACAGUGGAUCCAUCCUCCGCCACAGCUACCAUUCUUCAAGUUCCAGCCUGGGCUCCAUGGAACACGACGGUGCCAUUCACGUCAACGUCACAGAGCUGCUCAACAAUGGUGUCAGAGACUCAGAAGUGUUGAGAGCCUGGCUCACGGACCUCCGAUUCGAAGAAUACUAUGAGAAGUUCAUCUCUGCUGGGUAUGACAUGCCGACAAUCUUCAAGAUGACGCCAGAAGACCUGAACGCCAUUGGCAUCACUAAGCCAGCACACAGGAAGAAGCUCAAAGCUGAAAUCACUAGACUCAACAUUCCUGAUAGACUGCCUGACUUCAUUCCGAGUCGGUUAGAGGAAUGGUUAUCUAUUCUGCGUUUAGAGGAGUACACAGGGUCCCUCAAGCAGCAAGGCUAUACGUGCGUGGAGCAGAUGACGCAGCUGACUUGGGAAGAUCUUGAAGAUAUAGGCAUCACAAAAUUGGGACACCAGAAGAAAGUGAUGUUGGCUAUCAAACGUGUGAAGGACAUUAUGGCUGGUAAGAAAUUUUCAAGCAAUCCUGACAGUCAACAGCAGUCUCACUAUGGAACUCAUGAAAUUAUGAUUUCCCGCGAAAACUGCGAAGGGCGAGACCAGUAUGCUAGUGUACCGGAAUUCAGGACCUUCUCCGGCCCGGGGCUCUACAAUAAUGGCGAGCACAGUAGACUGAGUGGGCCUGCUGACCCUGGAGGUCACUAUGGCGUACCCGCUCACUAUGGGCCUGGCGUCCAGUACGGCCCCAUGCCACCCCCACAAGCUCACGUCCAUCCUCUCCAAAAGCAGCCCGUGGCAUAUCAUCCUUCAGGCCAAUUUAGUGGCCCUCAGGGACCCUCACCUCCUGGGCCAAAGAUCCCCAAUGGGCAGCCACACCCCUUGCCUGGCCCUGGCCAGGUGCAGUAUCGACCAGACGUUGUAGCCGUGCAGGUUCGGCCUGGGGGCAGAGGAAGAAGUGUUGAGAGCUUAGAGGAGCCCAUUUACGGGACCUACCAAACAUUCCACCCAGACAGCCGAAUCCCACACGUCCAGGGCCCCAUGUCUCUUGGCAACCUCCCUCCAAGACCCUUCCCACCCUCGGCCCUUGGUCCGUCCCACCCCCAGCGGUCGAUGGACGAUGGUGACAUCACUCCCACAAACGAGUACACCAUCAGCUAUGAAGGUGGAGGAACUCUCCCCAGACCUCGCACAGCCAACAAGCUCCGACCUGUUGCCAAGGUCACGGCAAAGACUAGGGUAGACAUCCAUGAGGUGCCGCAGUUCAUAAAGGAUGGGAACAACGCAAAGAACGCAGCACAGAUUGAAGAGGCCAACAAGAAAGAGCUCAACAUGAAGGCGCUAAACCGGCAAAAUUCAGAAAAUAUCUAUAGCUCCGCACACUGUCCGGGAAGUACCAACAACACUCCACAGGGAACCCCAAAGAAACUGCCUCCUCCUCCUCCCCGCCGCUCAAAUUCCAUCAGCGAGACAUCGAAAGAGACUGCCGCGAGAGAGGCUCAGUACGGUUACCGCCGAGGGAUGUCCUACGGAUACAUGGGCAUUAAGAAUAACUUGCAGCCAGAUGUCACCCCUGACCUCCCACCCCCUCCCGCACCCCCGGACAGUGCCAACCACCAGCACCUACCUGACGACUUCCCACCUCCCCCGCCACCUCUGACGUGCGUGACUAUGGCCAGUGCCACCAGAAUUUCUGCCAGCUCAACAAUAACGACGUCCUCCAUCACAAGCGACACCAUUGCCACAUCACAGACAUCCACCACUGCUUCAGAGGUGGAAGUAGGCGAGUUCCGGCCAAGGCGUAACGACUCCAAUGCCAGCUUUAAGUCAACCUCCAGCACAGACUCAGACUCCAUGCCGUUUGCCAAUGAGAAUGCUGGAACCAUCAAGCAGCGAGCGUGCCGCCCACACCCAGCCCUCAGCGUCCUCGACACGAGAAAUUCCCCGCACUCCUCCCCCCGAUCUUCGCCCGCUCUCCGCCGCAAGGAUGCCCAACCGCCCCUCAGACAGAACCCCAUUGCUGCCGCUGACCCUGCCUGUGCGACAGCCACAAAAUCCAAUACCAGCACCAGUGAAGUCACACUUCUCACUCAAGAACAUCAGAGCUGAGGUUAAAUUGCAACAGACAUUCCUUUUACAUUGGCAUACGUCGUGUUGCAGAGAGAGAGAGAGAGAGAGAGAAAGAGAGAGAUAGUACAUUUCUCCUGACGGCACUGGGGACGUCCUGAACGACAUCGGAAAUAUGCUCGCCAACUUGACGGAUGAACUGGACGCAAUGUUAGAGCAAGAACUCACGCUUAAAAAUUAGGUGGAAUUUUAAUGCGAAGAUCUGUUCCUAACAAUUGUAAUUUGUAACAUCUAAGAACUUGUGCUCUAUUUUAAAAUUUGUGUGUGUGUGAGAGAGAGAGAGAGAGAGAGAGAGAGAGAGAGAGAGAGAGAGAGAGAGAGAGAGAGAGAGGUGGAAGAGAUAAGUAGGGAGAGGGAGAGGGGGGGGAACUCAAGAUACACAAAUACAUGCACACAUACAUUCAAAUAAAAUGGGAGGGAAGCACGGGUGAAGAGAAGAAACAGAAACAGGAAUACGAGGUAUGAUUGAGAGAAUGACAGUGAUCUGCAAAUAAUAUGAGUGAAUGUGCAAGAAAGUGUGAAUUGAAAUACAAAGAAACAUCCUGUAACAGAGAAUGUAAUGAAAUCAUAGAAGAGAUAUCAAUUAUAUUUUAAAGAACUUUGUUGGCACUUAAAAUCACUGUUGAGAUAUAAACUCAUUAGUUGGGUAUCAAACCUGCGCUGAUGUCUGUGUCAUUAUUAUGUAUUUAAAAAUGUACCAUAUGCGGAGAGAGGGAGAGCACAGAGUCAGGACCUUCUUGUGAGGCUAAAUAAUAAUACGUGAUUGGAUUCCUGCUCUCCCCAUUGUGAAAUGGCACCGUUCUUCAUCACUUCUUUCGACUGCAGGAUAAUGUCCUUGAUCUCAACUUUUAGAUAUAAGUGAUUUCAUUGACUUGCAACUGUUGAGGCUCAUAAAACCACAAGAUUAUAAUUUUUUUUUCCUUUUUUUCCCCUUUCUAUCUUUUCCGUUGUUUUGUUCUCUGUGAGUAAAGUAGGUUUCUGCUACGGUUAGUCAGUGAAGUGAAGACGACUAUGGCCAUGUAGUAAUUAUAGAAUAAAAAUGUGUUUUACAGAAACAAGGCAGUUGGAGUCAGAACCGAGAUUCAAAAAAACGUUUGCCUUACGAAUACAGUAUAUAUAAGGUGAUGAACGACGCUAAUCCGUUAAGUAAAUUGCACACGUACUUAUGUGAUUUACAAGUGACUAUGUAUUGUAGAUUGCACCAAAUUUAUUUUGAUGUAAAAGAAUAUCUUAUUAUAAAAGUUUCUGUAUUGAUAUUGUGUAAAGGGUAUUUGGAAGAAUAUUUUUCGCCCUAGGGCUGGUCGCUCUAUAAUAAUCCACAUGCCCACCAGAGGCACAUCUCAUUGAUGUGGUUUGACUUAACUUGUGGUGUGUGUGUACUGUGUGUAUAUAUUUAUAUCAGAAGAAAACAAUCAUCUAUGCCAGGAGACGAAGAGAAAGGAACUUCCCCAGUCUAUCAUAUUACCAGUAUCAUAGCUAAGCCACAAUUCAAAGUUUCAGAAACAAAAUGUCGCACGAGGAAUAGGGCAUCCAUCAGCUCUCGGUACCAUUAUUCGUAUUUUUGGAAGUUACGACAAGGGGAGGCAGAGCGGAAUCGAGUUCCUUUGAAAGUUAUCAAAUCUUGCAAAGAAAAUCUGUACUUAUUCAUAUACAUGGAUUUAUUGCUGCAAUCUCUAUUUGGAAAGCCAAAUCAAUAUUUUCCCUAAGUUAAAGAAGAUGAAUAUAUAUUUCUGAAAUAUAGUCCAGGUACAUUUUUGUUCUGUAUUACUGGUUGCUGUGUAUUAUGAAGUGAUAUGAAUCUUGUUACAGGGGUAGAGAGAGAGAGAGAGAAAAAAAAACAAAAACAAAAAUGAUAUUUUGUUUAAUUACACUGUAAAUAUCUUGUACAGAAAUCUGUAAAUAUCUAGGGAUAAUACUGUGUGUGGGUUUCAACUUUAUCCAAAAGCCAGAUGGAAGUCAAAGUGAAAUCUGACAAUUUUGUUUCCUGUCCACUCAUAAAGAGAAUGCCUUUGUUUUCAAGACUAGAGUUAUACUAUCACUGUUUACGCUUGCUUCUAUGAUCUUUCUGCAUAGGGUUUUCAUUCCGUCUCAUUGAGCUUUUGCAUUAUGAAAAGUUCACAUCGAGGAUAUAUGCCAUUUUAGCUUAUACUUGUUACUAGAAAGAGAAGAUACAAAACAUGUUGGUCACGUGUUAUCAGCAGGGAAGGAAACUGGGGACUUAAAAAUGACGAGAGAGGAUAGGGUAAAGGAUGCAGUAUAAUCACGGGAAUUUCCAGAAGGUAAAAAAGUAUUAUCAGUGUGAAUUUGAAUGUGCUAUGAAUUUUGUUUGUGAACAAUACUUUUGUGAUAUUUUGUUUGAAAACUGAAAGGAUGGUGUUAACAUAACAAGGUUUCUAUCAUACUAGCUGUAUGACCAUAUGAUGUAGAAGGCAUUCUCAGUUAGUCAAUAGCCUUUAGCCUCCAAGAAAGAAGGGCUUAAAAUGCACAGCCAUAUGCAUACACAUACAUAAACCUAUAUAGAAUUUUCAUCUCAGAAUUACCUGUGAACACUAUGUAAUAAUAGGCUGUUUGUAUGGUAGUUAGCCAACUAGAAUGUCAGGAGGAAUCAUGCAAUUUUGAGCACCGGACGGGAUCAACAUGUCCUUUUUUGAUCGAUUUGUCAAGCAACAUUGCAUGUCUUCGUGAACAUUUUUCUCUAUGUAUGCUAUUAUACCCCACUUAUGUAGUAGAGUCGUCUUUGGUCUGUAAGAAACGCCAAAUAGUGGGACAGUUAAAACAGAAAGAUUGGCAAAGCUGUGUUUGAUAGUCAUUGCAAGUUAAAACACAAAUGUAUUUCAUAUUUCCUUGGUGUGAUCUGAACUUUUUUGAGUUUUGGAAAACAUCUUUCUAUGUUUCCUGGGAGUUAUCAUAAGUGAUGUUUCACUUGUUUAAAACAUUAAGGUAGCAGUUUAUAGGAGGCUUAUUUUUUGUAUAGUAUGUAAAAAAAUAUAUAUAAAUCUGCCAAUUUUGUGUUGAGUAUUGACAUCUAGCCAUCAUAAUUUCCAUGCUGUUGUCAGCUGUCUUUUUCAUUACUGUAUGUAUAUCAUAUACCUUAAUAUUGAAUAUUGAAGAAGUAUAAUCCUUAGUGUUUUUAGA
rnacentral:misc_RNA from 1 species